AACGAACGUUGGCGGCGUGGAUUAGGCAUGCAAGUCGGGGGAAUCCCAGCAAUGGGGGAACCGGCGUAAGGGGCAGUAAUGUGUGGGUACCUACCCUAGGGUUCGGGAUAGCCAUCAGAGAUGGUGGGUAAUACCGGAUGAUGUCGUGAGACCAAAGAUUUAUCGCCCCGGGAGGGGCCCACAUGAUAUUAGCUAGUUGGUGAGGUAACGGCUCACCAAGGCGAGGAUGUCUAGCGGGCGUGAGAGCACGACCCGCGCCACUCGCACUGAGACACUGGCGAGACACCUACGGGUGGCUGCAGUCGAGGAUCUUCGGCAAUGAGCGCAAGCUUGACCGAGCGACGCCGCGUGAGCGAUGAAGGCCUUCGGGUUGUAAAGCUCUUUAGUGGGGGAGAAAAGCCCGCAAGGGUGUGAUCUAUCCCAAAAAUAAGCACGGGCUAAGUUCGUGCCAGCAGCCGCCGCGGUAA
rnacentral:rRNA from 1 species